GACGAACGCUGGCGGCGUGCCUAAUACAUGCAAGUAGAACGCUGAAGGAGGAGCUUGCUCUUCUGGAUGAGUUGCGAACGGGUGAGUAACGCGUAGGUAACCUGCCUGGUAGCGGGGGAUAACUAUUGGAAACGAUAGCUAAUACCGCAUAACAGUAGAUGUUGCAUGACAUUUACUUAAAAGGUGCUAUUGCAUCACUACCAGAUGGACCUGCGUUGUAUUAGCUAGUUGGUGGGGUAACGGCUCACCAAGGCGACGAUACAUAGCCGACCUGAGAGGGGGAUCGGCCACACUGGGACUGAGACACGGCCCAGACUCCUACGGGAGGCAGCAGUAGGGAAUCUUCGGCAAUGGACGGAAGUCUGACCGAGCAACGCCGCGUGAGUGAAGAAGGUUGUCGGAUCGUAAAGCUCUGUUGUAAGAGAAGAACGAGUGUGAGAGUGGAAAGUUCACACUGUGACGGUAUCUUACCAGAAAGGGACGGCUAACUACGUG
rnacentral:rRNA from 1 species